GUGGCUGGGCGUGGGCAUGCAGCUGUACGGUCCCAAGCCCAAGCUGCUGCCCCUGCACACCUCCCGCUGCUCCGUAGGCGACACCGCCGGCAACGUCACGCUGCUCCGUGCCGCGUCACUCGGCAGCACUGCAACUAGCUCUUCUUCUGACACGCUUUCCGACGAAAAUCCAAUAUUCGAGCCGCCCUUGGGAGGCUUAUACGAGAUAUCCUACACAUUAAUGCCCUUCAUCUGAACUUCUGUGUGCAUCGGCGUGGGCGCUCUGGUGUCGUGGGCGACGGGCUGUGAGAAAUUAGAAGAUGUUCAGCCAGAGCUGAUUCUACCGUGCUUAAGGAAAUACCUAAAGAUAAAGUUAAAAUGUUCACCUCUGGAACUGAAAAGUUUCUCAGAUGGUCAAAGUUCAUCAACAUCCGCGGGUGAUAAUCCGGAGGGAAAAAGUUCAGGAAAAUGUGAAUUCGACCCGAAUCAACAGCUGUGAACCGUGUCGAAUAUUGAAAUUAGGGACUUUUCCAAUUUCAAUAAAAAUGUUGUAGUAUGGUAAGUGCAAAUACGAUAAUAUUUUUUUUACCUCUUGGACAAUCGAAUUUUCGAAACGAAUUUCCAUAGCAAGUUUUCUACGCCUAACUUCGUCAAAUCAAAACAGUUUUUUGAUCCAACUAAAAACGAUGCUAUUUGUGCUCACAUUUUGAUUUAAGAAAUUAUUUAUUCUGCAAGCUCGAACGCUUUUUGUAUUUGCUCACUCAUAUGUUUCGAGUCUUGCAACUCGUAAAUAGGACUUUCUUAGGAAUUGACUGACAUUUGUUCAUUUGGUCAUUUUUAUACUGUUCAGGGUGAGAAGUAAAGUGAAAAGAAAGAUUGAAACUUUACAUCGUCUUCUUCUUAAUUUUGUGGUAAAAUUCAUGUUUGUUUUCAAAUCUGAGACGAACUGGCGAGUGACCUUGGCACGACGAUUGAGAUAAUAAAAAUGAUUAAAGUAACGCUUGAUUAUUCCGGUUGCAAAAUUAAUAUCAUAAUUAAUCCAGCUCUUGAGAGUUCUAAACAUUCAUUAAAAAAUACCAUUUUGAUGGUUUACGUGAUCGCAGUGAUAGAAAUUGAAGUUGGUAACGCAGUGGAUCGCGUUAGGCAUAGGUGAUAAAAUAAAUUGAACGCACAUUAGAAAUCAGAAUCCAAUUUAAUCCGGUAAAUGAAAGCAGUUAAUCGACAGAGAAACGAAUGAUCAGCGCCUUAGCAAGACUAAAUCAGCAUAUUUACUAUCGAGCCUAAGGAAGCAUAUCACAAUUGAAUUGUUUAGACGACUUAAUUUCAUUAUUCGAAAAUGCUGAUUAAAAUUAUUGGAUUAUAUUGUUACGUCGCAACACUCAGCGGAAUAUUUUAGAUUUCCAAACUCUGAUUUGUUAACGUUUGCUCUCGAAUUGAUGAAGUUAGUAUAACUCAAUAUGUCUACAUUCAAACGAAAAAAGAUUUAAUAAGGCUAACUACAAUAUAAAUUGCACUGGUGGUAUGCUUGUGUUUUAAUCUGUAUCAAUUCGAAUAAUUUUCUGCAUGGCAGAACCACAAGUUUUGAAAACUGCGAAAAAGAUCAAAUUCAUGUUUAUUUGAAUAUUGCGUAGUGUGAUAACGAUAAAUAUUUAUCUAUUAAAAGAUGGAAUUAAGUCAUGAAAAAUGCAUUACCUCCUUAAUCUAUCGACUUAGGAAACGACAUUUUGAGACAUCCACGCAUACGUUACGAUUGGUUUAAAUUAUUGGAUGUUGUGCCGAAAACGGAGAGCGAACGUGCUCACAUAUCUAAUUCUAUUGCUGUGGAGGUGAUGAGGUUGGAUAUAUUAUCCAUUGCUAUUGGCAUAUUAUUUUAUUUCUAAACUUGUCACGAACAUAAUUACAAUAUUUAAAGUAUAACCUAUAAUUCCAAAUUCACGUAUGAUUUAAAUCUGCAAUAAUGCUUUGUAUAGGUUUUAAACCCUGUUCCAGUUAAAUUCAUUCCUAUCCAAAGCGUUUUCUGUAUAUUGCCAAUCUGUGAAUUCAUAUUUUUUCAUAAACUGGAUUUACGGUGGAUCGAGAAAAUAUUUACUAACGGUUCAAAUUGUGGGACACCCUUUUUCGGUAACUUUUGACCUUUUUUGUAGAAUUUGAGGACAUCUUGAACAGUUUUUCAGAGGAAAUUUCAGGUAACUUAAAAUGAAACAGCCAGUGAAUCAGAUAAUUAUUUUAAUAAUAAUACAAUAGAUUCAGGAGGAAAUAAUUUUGGAAAAGAUGAGAUCGCCUUGAAAUAAAGCCGAUUCAUUUUUAGCGCAUUUUCUCAUUUAUGGAAA